AUGACUAAGUGAAUGGAGUUCAGACCGGUGGUGUUCAUCGGCCCAAGAGUCGGGUUGCUUGGGAACGCAGCCCAAAGCGGGUGGUAAGUUCCAUCCAAGGCUAAAUACGGGGACGAGUCCGAUAGCCGACAAGUACCGCGAGGGAAAGUUGAAAA